AUUGAACGCUGGCGGCAGGCCUAACACAUGCAAGUCGAGCGGAUGAAGGGAGCUUGCUCCUGGAUUCAGCUGCGGACGGGUGAGUAAUGCCUAGGAAUCUGCCUGGUAGUGGGGGAUAACGUCCGGAAACGGGCGCUAAUACCGCAUACGUCCUGAGGGAGAAAGUGUGGGAUCUUCGGACCUCACGCUAUCAGAUGAGCCUAGGUCGGAUUAGCUAGUUGGUGGGGUAAAGGCCUACCAAGGCGACGAUCCGUAACUGGUCUGAGAGGAUGAUCAGUCACACUGGAACUGAGACACGGUCCAGACUCCUACGGGAGGCAGCAGUGGGGAAUAUUGGACAAUGGGCGAAAGCCUGAUCCAGCCAUGCCGCGUGUGUGAAGAAGGUCUUCGGAUUGUAAAGCACUUUAAGUUGGGAGGAAGGGCAGCAAGUUAAUACCUUGCUGUUUUGACGUUACCAACAGAAUAAGCACCGGCUAACUUCGUG
rnacentral:rRNA from 1 species